rnacentral:rRNA from 1 species
GGACUACUCGGGUUUCUAAUCCUGUUUGCUCCCCACGCUUUCGCGUCUCAGCGUCAGUAUCCGUCCAGAUGGUCGCCUUCGCCACCGGUGUUCCUCCCCAUAUCUACGAAUUUCACCUCUACUUGGGGAAUUCCACCAUCCUCUCCGGUACUCAAGCUCUGCAGUUUCGGGCGCACUUCCUCGGUUAAGCCGAGGGAUUUCACACCCGACUUGCAAAGCCGCCUACACGCGCUUUACGCCCAAUAAUUCCGAACAACGCUUGCACCCUCUGUAUUACCGCGGCGGCUGGCAC